GAUGAACGCUGACAGAAUGCUUAACACAUGCAAGUCUUUGGCGAAGCUGUGCUUGCACAGCCUAGCCAAGGCGGACGGGUGAGUAACGCGUAAGGAACUUGCCCUGCAGUCAGGGAUAACAGACGGAAACGACUGAUAAGACCUGGUAAAGUCAGGCGGACUCAUGUCCAGCCUGAUGAAAAGAGAUGCUGCAGGAGAGCCUUGCGUCCUAUUAGCUUGUUGGUGGGGUAACGGCCCACCAAGGCGAUGAUAGGUAGCCGGCCUGAGAGGGUGGACGGCCACAAGGGGACUGAGAUACGGCCCUUACUCCUACGGGAGGCAGCAGUGGGGAAUAUUGGACAACGGGGGCAACCCUGAUCCAGCAAUUCUGUGUGCACGAUGAAGGUUCUCGGAUUGUAAAGUGCUUUCAGCAGGGAAGAAAAAAAUGACGGUACCUGCAGAAGAAGCGACGGCUAAAUAUGUG
rnacentral:rRNA from 1 species